UGGGGGAUAUUGCACAAUGGAGGAAACUCUGAUGCAGCAACGCCGCGUGAGGGAAGAAGGUCUUCGGAUUGUAAACCUCAGUAGUCAGGGACGAAAGAAAUGACGGUACCUGAAGAGUAAGCUCCGGCUAACUACGUGCCAGCAGCCGCGGUAAUACGUAGGGAGCGAGCGUUGUCCGGAUUUACUGGGUGUAAAGGGUGCGUAGGCGGGAUAGCAAGUCAGACGUGAAAUACCGAGGCUUAACUUCGGGGCUGCGUUUGAAACUGUUAUUCUUGAGUGAAGUAGAGNCAGGCGGAAUGCCUAGUGUAGCGGUGAAAUGCGUAGAUAUUAGGAGGAACACCAGUGGCGAAGGCGGCCUGCUGGGCUUUAACUGACGCUGAGGCACGAAAGCAUGGGGAGCAAACA
rnacentral:rRNA from 1 species